rnacentral:miRNA from 1 species
AUGUAUACACACACACACACACACAAACCCACAAAUUCAAAAGCUGUCGAAGUAAGUUGAUAUUACCUGAGUCAAAUUCUAACAGUGUCCUCAGUUGUGUGUGCGUGUGUGUGUGUGUGUGUGUGUGUGUGU